UACGUAGGGUGCAAGCGUUGUCCGGAAUUAUUGGGCGUAAAGAGCUCGUAGGCGGUUUGUCGCGUCUGCUGUGAAAACCUAAGGCUCAACCUUGGGCUUGCAGUGGGUACGGGCAGACUAGAGUGCGGUAGGGGUGACUGGAAUUCCCGGUGUAGCGGUGAAAUGCGCAGAUAUCGGGAGGAACACCGGUGGCGAAGGCGGUUCUCUGGGCCGUUACCUGACGCUGAGGAGCGAAAGCGUGGGGAGCGAACAGG
rnacentral:rRNA from 1 species